UAGGGAAUCUUCGGCAAUGGACGAAAGUCUGACCGAGCAACGCCGCGUGAGUGAAGAAGGUUUUCGGAUCGUAAAACUCUGUUGUUAGAGAAGAAUGACAUUGAGAGUAACUGUUCAAUGUGUGACGGUAUCUUACCAGAAAGCCACGGCUAACUACGUGCCAGCAGCCGCGGUAAUACGUAGGUGGCAAGCGUUGUCCGGAUUUAUUGGGCGUAAAGCGAGCGCAGGCGGUUUCUUAAGUCUGAUGUGAAAGCCCCCGGCUCAACCGGGGAGGGUCAUUGGAAACUGGGAGACUUGAGUGCAGAAGAGGAGAGUGGAAUUCCAUGUGUAGCGGUGAAAUGCGUAGAUAUAUGGAGGAACACCAGUGGCGAAGGCGGCUCUCUGGUCUGUAACUGACGCUGAGGCUCGAAAGCGUGGGGAGCAAACAGG
rnacentral:rRNA from 1 species